CUUCUAGUUUCACCAUUCGAGUGUGGGAACUCGAUACAGCAACUAAAACAAUCCAUCCAUCUGAAUGCUACGCGGGGCAACUGAGAGGAAUCAGCGUGUGUGUUCAGAUGACAGACGAUGAUGGUGAUUUUCAUCUUGGCACGACGAGUGGAGAUGUCCUGAAAGUGAACACAAGCAGCAAGUGACUGAAGGUCGAGCAACCUGCGGGAGAACCAUCACAAAGCGGAUUCUCAGACUAACGCUUUUCCUGCGCUGUCAGGAACGACCCCUGAACGACCACCAGAGG